rnacentral:misc_RNA from 1 species
AAAGAGCAGAUCAUAAUGUCCCUGAAUGGCGGAUUACAGGUUUCAGCAAUGUUCAUAACCAUGAACUUUUAAAGUCAACCGAGAUGCAGCUUAUUCCUGCCUACUGCACCAUGUCUGCUGAUGACAAGAGUCGCAUUUGCAUGUUUGUGAAAGCUGGGAUGUCAGUUCGGCAAAUGCUGAGGUUGAUGGAGCUAGAGAAGGGAGUUAAGUUGGGUUGUUUACCCUUCACAGAGGUCGAUGUCAGACACUUCCUACAAUCUUUUAGAAAUGUGGACCAGGAUAACGACCCUAUUGACCUUCUCAAAAUGUGCAAGGAGAUGAAAGACAAAGACCUGAAAUUUAAAU